ensembl:lncRNA
CUCAACUUAAAAGGUACUACGUGUAACAAUUCAACAAAAAACUGUAUCUUGUUGUCAAAACAAGAGAUUUGUUGGCCCCAGUCAAUUUGUAAACAAGAGAUUUGCUGGCCCCAGUCAAUUUGAUAACAAGAGAUUUGCUGGCCCUCCGUCAAUUUGACAACAAGAUUUGCUGGCUCCAGUCAAUUUUGCAAGACAUGCAAGUGAUGUGCUGGCUCCAGUCAAUUUACAGAGAUUUGCUGAGCUCAAUAGUAAUUUGACAACAAGAGAUUUGCUGGCUCAGUCAAUUUGACAUGAGAUUUGCUGGCUCCAGUCAAUUUGACAACGAGAUUGUGCUGGCUCCAAGUCAAUUUUGACAACAAGAGAUUUGCUGGGCUCCAGUCAAUUGACAACGAGAUGUCUGGCUCCAGUCAAUUUGACAACAAGAUUUGCUGGCUCCAGUCAAUUUGACAACAAGAGAUUUGCUGGCUCCAGUCAAUUUGACAACAGAGAUUGUGCUGGCUCCAGUCAAUUUGACAACAAGAGAUUUGGCGGCCCAGUCAAUUUGACACAAGGAUUUGCUGGCUCCAGUCAAUUUGACAACAAGAGAUUUUCUGGCUAUAGUCAAUUGACAACGAGAUUUGCUGGCUCAGUCAAUUUGACAAUAGAGAUUUGCUGGCCCAUCCAGUCAAAUUGACACAGAGAUUUGCUGGCUCCAGUCAAUUUGACAAGAGAUUUGCUGGCUCCAGUCCAAUUGACAAGAGAUUUGCUGGCUUCAAGUUGACAAUGUAUUUGCUACAUAGUCAAUUGACAACAGAUUUGCUGGCCUCAGUAAUUUGACACAAGAUUUUGGGCACAGUCAAUUGACAAGAGAUUGCUGGCUCAGUCAAUUUGACAAGAGAUUUGCUGGCUCCAGUCAAUAUGACAACAAGAGAUUUGCUGGCUCCAGUCCAUUUGACAACAUUUUGCUGGCUCCAGUCAAUUUGACAAUGAUAUUUGCUGGCUCCCAUCAAUUUGACAACGAGAUUUGCUGGCCUAGUCAAUUUGACAAGAGAUUUGCUGGCCCAGUCAAUUUGCAACAAGAGAUUUUGCGGCUCAGUCAAUUUGACAAGAGAUUUGCUGGCUCCAGUCAAUUGUGGACAAGAGAUUUGCUGGCUAGUCAAUUUGACAACGAGAUUUGCUGGCUCCAACAAAUUGAACAGAGCGAUUUGCUGGCUCCAGUCAAUUUGACAAGAGAUUUGCUGGCUCCAGUCAAUUUGACAAUGAGAUUUGCUGGCUCCAGUCAAUUUGACAAUGAGAUUUGCUGGCUCCAGUCAAUUUGACAAUGAGAUUUGCUGGCCCCAGUCAAUUUGACAACAAGAGAUUUGCUGGCCCCAGUCAAUUUGACAACAAGAGAUUUGCUGGCCCCAACCAAGUCUGUCUUUCUUUGAACAAUAAGAAGGCUUCACCAUUAGAAUAAAAUUGUGUGUGGGCCAAAUAAUAUUUUUGGGAAAAAAUAAUGUGAAACACUAUCAUUCCAUUAUUACUGUAGAUAUAUUAAGGACAUUUUGUCCUUUUCUCAACAGCAGGUUAGUACAGAAAGCAUGAUUGUUAACCUUUUCUAAUAAAAGGUACUUACCACAUGAAGAGAGCAAAUAGUGUCGCUACCAGAGUCCAUGUCUCUGUGGAGAACGAAGGAAAGUACCACAUCGUGUCUCCGCUCUGUUGCGCUUUUGACUCUGACCGUAGGCUCUGACCGACCUGUAAUUCUCUCUUCUUCUUCUGUAAUAUUAUGGCGGUCCACAAAGGAAUGGUGUAAUUAUUUUACUUCCACCUUUUUAAAGGGCUAUUCGGUAGUUUGAGGGUUAACGGGCGACUCUUUGCAGAGAGAGAGAGAGAGAGAGAGAGAAUAGAGAUAGAUAGAGGACUCAUAUUUAUAUAUGUGCCAUUAUAGCUUCUAUGACACUGUGGGCAGCACCAUUGAGGCUACAACAUGUAGAAAUCCCCACCAGAUGAGUACUUUGACUACAUUAAAAUGGCAAAGGCAUGGUGGAAGCACUCAACGGUGCUACCCAUGCUA